GAAAUGCGAUAAGUAAUGUGAAUUGCAGAAUUCAGUGAAUCAUCGAAUCUUUGAACGCACAUUGCGCUCGCCAGUAUUCUGGCGAGCAUGCCUGUUCGAGCGUCAUUUCAACCAUCAAGCUCUGCUUGCGUUGGGGAUCCGCGGCUGCCCGCGGUCCCUCAAAAACAGUGGUGGGCUCGCUAGUCACACCGAGCGUAGUAACUCUACAUCGCUAUGGUCGUGCGGCGGGUUCUUGCCGUAAAACCCCCAAUUUCUAAGGUUGACCUCGGAUCAGGUAGGAAUACCCGCUGAACUUAAGC
rnacentral:misc_RNA from 1 species